AAGGCCUGAUGUGUGUGAGAUUACCCGCUGAAUUUAAGCAUAUAAGUAAGCGGAGGAAAAGAAACUAACUAGGAUUCCCUUAGUAAUGGCGAAUGAACAGGGAUCAGCUCAGUGCCAAAUCGGAAUCACUUGUGGUUCUGAAAUGUGGCUUGAAGGCAGUACCAGUGGCAUCGCGGACGAAAGUCUCUUGGAAAAGAGCGUCAUAGAGGGUGAGAAUCCCGUGAGUCGUUCGCCGUUUGUCACGUACGGUCUGCGUUCUAACGAGUCGCGUUCCUUGGGAUUGGAGCGUAAACGGGUGGUAAAUUUCAUCCAAAGCAAAAUAUAUACUCGAGACCGAUAGCACAAAAGUACCGUGAGGGAAAGGUGAAAAGAACUUUGAGAAGAGGGUUAAAUAGUGCCUGAAAUCGUUGAGAAGGAAGCGGAUGCCGCCGUUGCAUAUGCUGAUUGUAGGAUUGCUGCUCGCUCCUGUCUUCUGCUACUCAUUCACAGACCCUGGUCGUGUUUGAGCAGUUG
rnacentral:ncRNA from 1 species